rnacentral:rRNA from 1 species
AGUGAACGCUGGCGGCGUGCCUAACACAUGCAAGUCGAACGGACGCACGAUAAGAGUGCGCUUCUACCGUUAGCGAGUGACGGGCGAGUAAGAAAUACAUAGGCAUCUAAUUUUUCUUGGGGGAUUACGUAGAGCAGGAGACGCUAAUAGCGCAUACGACCUACGGGUGAAUGCAAGGGAUCUUCGGACCUUGCCCGUCUCAUUGAGCCGAUGCCGGAUUAGCUAGUUGGCGAGGUAAAGGCCCACCAAGGCAACGAUCCGUAGCUGGUCUGAGAGGAUGAUCAGCCACACUGGAACUGAGACACGGUCCAGACUCCUACGGGAGGCAGCAGUAGGGAAUCUUCCGCAAUGGGCGAAAGCCUGACCGAGCCAUACCGCGUGAGUGAAGAAGGUCUUCGGGUCGUAAAACUCUGUUAUUAGGGAAGAAAAGCUGCAGAAUAAACCCUCCAUGUCUUGACGGUACCCAAAGAGUAAGCACCGGCUAACUUCGUG